CUUUCAAAAACAUGGAAAUUACUAAGUGACCCCAAACUUUUGAAUGAUUUGGGAAUGGGUGUCGAUCGUCAGCACGUAGGAUGCUCCACUCGCAAAGUGUCCAUUAAUAUAAGUCAUUUGCAAACCCCGACACCGCUCCGUAUCACCCUCACCGUUAUCUCUUAUGCUGCUGUAUCCACUGUUCACUCAAUGAAGUCAAAUUUACCUCCA